UACAGAGGUCCCAAGCGUUGUUCGGAUUCACUGGGCGUAAAGGGUGCGUAGGCGGUCGGGUAAGUCUGAUGUGAAAUCUCACAGCUUAACUGUGAAAACUGCAUUGGAUACUAUUCGGCUUGAGAGUUGGAGGGGGGGACUGGAAUACUUGGUGUAGCAGUGAAAAUGCGUAGAUAUCAAGUGGAACACCAGUGGCGAAGGCGAGUCCCCUGGACAACUCCUGACACUGAGGCACGAAAGCUAGGGGAGCAAACAGG
rnacentral:rRNA from 1 species